rfam:Alligator mississippiensis ScZkoYb_82, whole genome shotgun sequence.
GGUGCUGUGGCUUAGUUGGUUAAAGCACCUAUCUAGUAAACAGGAGACCCUGGGUUCAAAUUCCAGUGGUGCCU